GACCAUGUGGCCUAAUGGAUAAAGCAUCUGAUUCCACACCAGAAGAUUGAAGAUUCAUGUCCUUGCAUGGUCA
rnacentral:tRNA from 1 species